UACGUAGGGGGCAAGCGUUGUCCGGAAUCAUUGGGCGUAAAGAGCGUGUAGGCGGCCCGGUAAGUCCGCCGUGAAAGUCCAGGGCUCAACCCUGGGAUGCCGGUGGAAACUGUCGGGCUCGAGUCCGGAAGAGGCGAGUGGAAUUCCUGGUGUAGCGGUGAAAUGCGCAGAUAUCGAGAGGAACACCUGCGGCGAAGGCGGGUUGCUGGGCUGACACUGACGCUGAUGCGCGAAAGCCAGGGGAGCGAACGGG
rnacentral:rRNA from 1 species